AGCCUUGCUCAGUGGCGGUAUUGUAGCCAAUGAGAUUUAUCCAAGGCACAAUUAUUGCCAGUUGUAUCUUAAGGCAGAAUCUGUUAAAGUCACAAAAGCAGGAUGUCAAGCUAUAAAUUAAACCCAGAUUUAUUGAACUUAAAUUUGUGUAUUCUUUCCACUAUGCCAGAAGAACUGAAAG
rnacentral:snRNA from 1 species